UGGAGGAGCAGAAGGGAGGAGCAUCAGGGAGCAGGCAGCAGCAAUAGCACAAAGAGCAACAGCAGCAGCAGGCAAACGAAUGCCAAAGAAACUGCUGACUGCCUGCCGUCCGAGUUCGAGUCCGAGUCCGAGGCAACAACAACAAAAACGAGAAGGGACGUGUGAGACGCUUCUUACGCGUCACAACUUUUAUACCCGGCAAUCAGUACUACAUCUGCAGCUUAGCGGUGUUUUGUCCAUUUUUACAUAUUUUUUAAAUACACUGGUUUCAGUGUGAGCAUAUAGCAGUCUGCAGCCAAAACUUUGUGGCUCUAGCUCUUAUAGGACGGACGGACAGACAGAGAGACAUGGCUCUAUCGACUCGUCUAUUGAUGCUGAUCAAGAAUACGGAAACGUUUCCGUCUGUGCGUUACAUACAACCGUUAUUCCCCCUUUUUACUCUUCGAGUACCGGGUAUAAAAACAGCAGCGCCACUCACUCUGGACACUCUGACUGACGUUGGGCGAAAUGGGG
rnacentral:lncRNA from 1 species